GACGAACGCUGGCGGCGUGCUUAACACAUGCAAGUCGAACGGUGAAGCGCCUUCCUUUUUGGUGGGUGUGGAUGAGUGGCGAACGGGUGAGUAACACGUGAGUAACCUGCCCCCUUCUUCUGGAUAACCGCAUGAAAGUGUGGCUAAUACGGGAUAUUCUGGGUCUGUCGCAUGAUGGGUCUGGGAAAGAUAUUGUUUCGGUGGGGGAUGGGCUCGCGGCCUAUCAGCUUGUUGGUGGGGUGAUGGCCUACCAAGGCGGUGACGGGUAGCCGGCCUGAGAGGGCGGACGGUCACACUGGGACUGAGACACGGCCCAGACUCCUACGGGAGGCAGCAGUGGGGAAUAUUGCACAACGGGCGCAAGCCUGAUGCAGCGACGCCGCGUGAGGGAUGGAGGCCUUCGGGUUGUGAACCUCUUUCGCCAGUGAAGCAGGCCUGCCUCGUUUGUGGGUGGGUUGACGGUAGCUGGAGAAGAAGCGCCGGCUAACUACGUG
rnacentral:rRNA from 1 species